rnacentral:tRNA from 1 species
GGGCCUGUGGUCUAGCGGUUAUGACGCAACCUUCACAGGGUUGAUGUCCCCGGUUCGAAUCCGGGCAGGCCCA